rnacentral:lncRNA from 1 species
UCCAAAGUGUUUCUGCGAUCCCAGCCAGACAAAUUCGAAGCUUCAGUAAGAGCAGCUCUCCACCUCUCUACCUUUUUUUCAUCUGUAUGUUUCAGAAACGAUUGUGCAAAACUACCAGUCUGUUUCCUGACAUGCGAAGGAUCAACGUCAUAGAAUAUUGGCAAAACUAAUUGCCCUAGCGUUCUUCUACACUCCAUGAUCUUAACCAGCUCCUCAAGACACCAACUGGAGUCCGAGUACCGUCUUGAGAAGACGAUGAUAGAGAUCCUAGAACCUUGGAUUGCCUGCACAAGUUCGCUAGUUAUAUCUUCUCCUCUUCUUAGUUCGUCGUCAAUAAAGGCGUUGAUUCCGGCCUUUGUCAAUGCUUCGUAGAGGUGGCCCGUGAAGUUUUUACGUGUGUCUUCGCCUCUAAAGCUUAUGAACACUUCGUAGAGCGAGCCUUUUGAGAAGGAGGACAAGGACGGGGAGGCGGAGGAGGACGAUGAGGAUGAGAUUGAGGGUGAGGAGGUGGAGGAGGACGUUGAGGAUGAGGGCGAGGAGGAGGACGAGGACAAGGACGAGGUUUUAUCGGGGACGGAGAUAUUCAUUUGGCGAAAGACGAGGCCGAGGGAGCAGAGGAGGAAGAUGAGGACAUCAAAAACAAGACCGGAAUUGCGAUGUGCAUAGUGGUAGGACUGUAACACCAGCACCAUAAUUAACAGCUUCCCUAAGCUCGACCAGUUAUCCAUUGCCUUCAAUUUCUUUAGGCAAAUUGAAGGUUGUUUGGCGAUAUUGAUUUUUUUCUACCGGAACUACUUUCUUCUUCUUAUAAUUAAUCAACCCGCCUAGGCAGUGCAGUUGACUGUGGACUUGAGUAUUGGUAAAUUGACUUAUGGUCCUACACCCUAAAUUCUACGAGGUGCUCUUUUUUCUUCCACUAUAAAGCCAAAUUAGACACAGUAAAUUGACUUGUGGUCCUACAUCCUAAAUUCCAGGAGGCGCCCUUUUUUUUCCACCUUAUCGCCAAAUUCUACGCGGUGUUUUAUGGUUCACACAAUGAUGAGAGAUUUUUCAGUUUAUAGGAACACAGUCCAGUACACUGUACACCACUUAUAAAACAACUUCAAGAGGGCUAGUUUGAAAAUAUCCUACCGCAAAAUUUGAUUUGGUUUGGACCAAAUUUUGAUUUAGAUGAAAACUAGCAAGAGUGUCCGCGCGUUGCUGCGGGUGUUUAAAAUGUUUUGAUAAUAUGUACAUACAGAAAACAUCAUUUAUUAAAGCUAGACUUCUAUACCUAAGAUAGAGGUUGACAGUGAUCGUAAUUAUCAAAAGUUAGCAGUGUCCAACUGCUCACUGUUCAAAAGAUAGAGAUGCUAUAAAAGCUUAAUUCAUGUACAUAAGUUCAUAGUAUCAUGUACUCAAAAUAAUCAUAGUAUCGAAAGAUUGGCAGUCUUCAACUGCUCAUUGUUCAAAUACGAAAAUAUACAUAUGUCCAUAUCAGAAGGUUGGCACCGCACAUCUGUUGUGUUUAUGUUUUUCCUGUUCAAUCUCUGGUCUUGCUUGUUUGGGAAUGGCCAUCCUUUUUCUUGGCCACCAUGCUGUUGAAUUGGUGCCUAUUCUUUUUUGCUUUGCCCAUGAUUUUUCUCUUGCUAUAUAUUACGAAUUGGAAUUAGUAAGAAUUCCAUAUAAAAAACUAAAUUUGUCAAUCUAUUUAACCAAGAAGUAUAAUCCAGCAAGGUUAUUUUCUCUUUGUUUUUAUCAAAAUGAAUUCCACUGUUCCCAUCUAUUUGCACAUCCCUUUAAAUAAUCCAAAAACACAAAAGAAAUAUAUCUUGAUCCGUACCAAUUAAUGAUUUCCCAUUUACUUAAGUCAAACGUAGCCAAUGAAUUGAUGAAGGAGCUAAAAAAGAGAGACAAAAAAAAAAAAAAUCUCUAUUAUUCAAUUAUAUGGAGAUUUACCUGAUUGUACAAAAGGUUUGAAAAUUACCGUAAAAUUUGAAAUAAGAGAUGAGAUGGAGUGGAAAUCACAUACCAGCAUCAGGCUUAAAUUUGUAGUGCUCAUCUAAGAGAGCAGUGAUAGUGUUGAUGAGAGUGUAGGGAGAGAAACACAAUGCAAAUUGUAAGAGUUUGAGAGAAACCGCUUGAGGGACACUGCAGAUUGAUCGUUGAGAUUUGAGAAACCGAGGAAGUUGCAAUUUGAGACGAACUGCUUUGCAUCAAACGUGGUGGAGUUUCUCUCCUCCACGUUUGAAUAGAAGAGGUAGUUUCAGAGCUGUCUACAAUUAGUCCUAUCAGGAGCUUCUGCACUGGUUGAUGUCUUGGUCUUUUCCUUAGUCGCAUAUGCAUUGUAGACUUGGGUAGAUGAAAAGUAGAAAGAAAAUAAAAAUAUAAAGUCAAAGUUACUACUUAACUAUCUAUGUUGAUUCAUGUCCCACGCAUAAUAAGAAUGGUGAAUCAUUUUUCAUCUCGUGCACUGAUUUGUCAUUGUCAUUCGAAUUCACAAGUCAAUUUACUCCGAAUUUCUUAGUUAUCACCAGGGAAAGAAAAGUUAUAAGCAAAAUUCUAUUUCUAGAUUUUCUCACUAAACUACCUGUUAAACCAUGGUAAAUCAAAAUGGGAAAAAAUUAUAUCUACCUUUGUCAAACCUCUUGGGAUUCAAGUCCACCCGACUCCACCCCAAUACUCAGUGGCGCCCCAGAAAUCUUGCACCUUCAGUAGCCAAGAUCAUGCAUGUAUCAGUAUGAAUACGGAAGAGAAAAUAAAUGCAAUUUAUUAGAAUAAAGAAUAUGGGAUCAACAAAGUUUGUCCCAACUUACAGCGAGGCCAAUAAACAGCAACUGAAGAUAAUUUUUCGUUUUGCUACAUGAGGGGGGCACCCAAAAAUCCAAACCUGUCGAUACGGCACAACUGAGGAUGCCAACUUUAUCCAACUGAGCAAGGGGCUUGAUCUUGGAAAGACGGCCAUAAUGAACAACAAUGUAUUCACUUAAGUAAAAGUGCCAAGACGGUGAUUGGUGAACGUUAUUUCCCAACUGGGUUAGUUUGGCUAUUCCUUUCUAUUGAAAAGGAGUUAGCUGUCUGCGUGAGUCACCACAUUUUGCUUCAUGGCAAAAAUUUGAGGGAUCAAUAGUGUAUGGCCCUGAAUCCCAAAAGGAAAAAAUAACUCAACUAAGUAUAUACAAAGGGUAAGAUCAACAACAUUCCAUAGAACAAUUAAACGCCACUCUCUCAGUUUCGAGUACAACUGCACUUUGUGAUUAAAAUUCACACAUGUUUCACAUAUGCUAAGAACUAAUGUUCCUUAGGUUUUUCAUCACGAACGACAUUUGCAAUCUACUUUUCGAUUUCAAACCUUAAUUAUUCAUUGCCCAUUAAGAAAUGACUAUAUUUCAAACCUUAAUUUUAUAAUCCAAUGGUUUAUUCCUUCACAUGGAUAUUUGAUAUUGAUUUUCAUUUUUUCUACCGGAACUACUUUCUUCUUCUUAUAAUUAAUAAACCCGCCUACGCGGCGCAGUUGACUGAAGACUUGAGUCUUGGUAAAUUGACUUGUGGUCCUACACCCUAAAUUCUACGAGGUGCUCUUUUUCUUCCACUAUAAUGCCAAAUUAUACACGGCGUUGACUUGUGGUUCUACACCCUAAAUUCUAUGAGGCGUCCUUUUUAUUCUACCUUAACGCCAAAUUCUACACGGUACCUUAUGGUUCACACAAUGAUGAGAGAUUUUUCAAUUUAUAGGAACAGUCCAGUACACUGUACACCACUUGUAAAACAACUUCAAGAGGGCUAGUUUGAAAAUAUCCUACUGCAAAAUUUGAUUUGGUUUGGACCAAAUUUUGAUUUAGAUGAAAGCUAGCAACAGUGCCUGCGCGUAAUGUUUUGAUAAUAUGUACAUACAGAAAACAUAAUUUAUUAAAGCUAGAUUUCUAUACCUAAGAUAGAGGUUGACAGUGAUCAUAAUUAUCAAAAGUUGGCAGUGUCCAAUUGCUCACUGUUCAAAAGAUAGAGAUGCUAUCUAUUAGAAUACGGAAGAGAAAAUAAAUGCAAUUUAUUAGAAUAAAGAAUAUGGGAUCAACAAAAUUUGUCCAAACUUACAGCAAGGCCAAUAAACAGCAACUGAAGAAAUUUUUUUGUUUUGCUACAUGAGAGCGGCACCCAAAAAUCCAAACCUGUCGAUACAGCACAACUGAGGAUGCAAACUUUAUCCAACUGAGCAAUGGGCUUGAUCUUGGAAAGAUGGCCAGAAUAAACAACAAUGUAUUCACUUAAGUAAAAGUGCCAAGACAGUGAUUGGUGAAAGUUACUUCCCAGCUGGGUUAGUUUUGCUAUUCCCUUCUAUUGAAAAGGAGUCAGCUGUCUGAGCGAGUCACCACAUUUUGCUUCAUGGCAAAAAAUUUGAGGGAUCAAUAGUGUAUGGCCCUGAAUCCCAAAAGGAAAAAAUAACUCAACUAAGUAUAUAUAAUAUUAAACAUAUAAAGGGUAAGAUCAACCACAUCCCAUAGGAGAACAAUUAAACGUCACUAUCUCAGUUUCGAGUACAACUGCACUUUGUGAUUAAAAUUCACACAUGUUUCACAUAUGCUAAGAACUAAUGUUCCUGUAGGUUUUUCAUCACGAAUGACAUUUGCAAUCUACUUUUCGAUUUCAAACCUUAAUUAUUCAUUGUCCAUUAAGAAAUGACUAUAUUGCCCGGAAACUCUACUCAUAGUUUAUAAAUCUGCAAUUUUCAAAGCUUAAGCAUCUUAAGCAUCUUAAUUGGAUUCCCUACAAUUUGGUGGAGGUUGAAUGGAUUUUUCCUCCCAUUAUACCCUCGGAAAAUAUAAAUAAUCAUUGGAGACUGAGCAACACACACUCAUAAACAUAAUGCAUACAGAAGAAUAAAAUUGACAGAAAACAGAUCAAUGCACAGAGAGAUAGAGGCAUAAAGAGAGAACUUACAUCAGCUGUGCUCUCAAAUACAUAUGGUAAUCUGCAUACGAAGAAACAUAAUACUGAAACAGUUAUAAAUCAUCCUAUUCAAAUAAAUCAAACGAAAUGCAUAAAGAUUACCUUAGUUUCUGAUUCUAUGAUUAUGUAUUUGACUCCACCUCCACGUUGUUCUUUGGUUGUCUCUUUUACUGAAUUAAGUAAUCGACUGAAUUACUUAAUUCAACUGAAUUUAAUUAGAGAGAUGAAAGCUUCGGUAUAAAAUAAUAUUUUAUGCUCUACACGCAUAGCAAAUCAUCAGUAACCUCCAAGAACCUAAUUGUACGAUAAACACUCUAGCAUUAACUACCCAAGAAUUAUAAUCAUGCUUAUUGCCAAAAAUGAUAAACAUGUUUACCUUGACUUCAUUUUUAAUGGCAUAUGUAAUAUACUUUCCAUCUGCAUUAAAAUAACCUACUUCGUUCUCCUCGUUAAUCAAGUUGAAAGGUUCUGUUUAAAUCCCAUCCACAACAAAGUCCUUGUAAUCCUGCCAAAAGAUACCACCAAUCAAUGGCUAUCGCUUCCAUUGAUCCAAUUAGAAGAAGUAUCCAACAAUCUCCUCGACUGAAAAAAUUCUUGCCAAUUUAGAAAAGAACUAUUCCAAAUUACGGAUGUACUCGAUUAAUUUAACCAAGAAUAUGCACGGCACCACCACUAUUAAGAAGCAUCAACAUACAAAGACAAAAGUUUCUACAAUCAGUUGUUAAAUUGCAAUCAAAAACAUGCAUAGAAAGAAUAAAAAUGAGAACAAAGAUGGCAAAACAAUUAACCACACAUGUUGUUUAUCCAAAAAUGCUGAGAGCUUAUGCUUCUGUGACACAACGAGCUUCCUGCAUCACAUAUACUAGAUCAAGUAGGCGUCAUGACAUAAAUUGAAAAGCAGACAAGAUCAAGAAGAUCCAAAAUUAUUGAUAUAUAAUUAUAGUAAAUAAUUGCACAUCAAAAACUCUAGAGGAAGAUAGAUGAAUCUCCAUAUCAAGAAACCAAAGAACAUGACACUACUAAGGACCGUUGCUUCACAUGCAUAUCUGCUACUAUUUUAAAACAAUUAUGUUAGAACAAGUAUAAGAGAGAGGACAAAGUACUACUGAACCGAAAAUGAAAAGGGGGAAAACCUGGAAUGCCAUGCAGUGCCGAAAUCACUACUUAGCAACAAAAGUGCCCUGCUAUGCUUCAUGACGUCACUUUCAAAACUAUUAUCCAAAGAUAAUGACACAUACAAAGACUUCUCAUCCCCAGAUACAUCUGAUCUGCUGUUAAGUGCCUUAUAUUGUCUACUUGCUGCCAUAAACGCAUGCUUAGCAGCCUCAUACAACCGAAAAAGAACUUGCGUUGAAAUCCCCAACUUAUGAUCCCUAUUCCAAAAAACUGAGUUGCCAGCAGCUGAGCGCAGCACCGUUGUCAUCAGAUGAGGGUGAGGAAUGGCCUGCCUCUUUAUUCAGCUUGGAAAACUGGGACGGGUGAAGAAAUCCCACUUCAUCUUUGGGUUCAAUCAAGAGGAAAGAACAAUAUAUAAGACGACGGCAUUACUACAUAUUCCAAAAAUAUAACUGAGAACCCUUCCAAAAUUAAAAAAAAAAAGAGAGCACCUCUACACAAAAUCAUAAUGCACCCACAAUUACACACACACACCAAAUUCAAAAACUUAGCAUAAGAAUAAGGCAUACUUGGACCGUUAUCGAAAUCCCAGCCUCAGUAACAGUAAUGAACUAACACUGAAUCCACGUUUUGAAUUUGAACUAACACUGAAUGGACAUUUUCCAAAAAAAUAUGAAUCCAAGUAAAAUCAAGCUGUUACUUUUACAUAUGCAUGGAUCAACUCAUGCGGGAUCAAAUAUCUGUACUUUUCGACACGGAAAUUACACUUUGUGAAGGUUCACCAACCAAGCACGAAUAAAACCUAUAUAUACAAAACUCUAGUGGCAUUUCACCGAACACAAAGUCUGCGUCUUUACUGAAAACAGAGAAGCUAAACCUGCAAUCACUGAUUAUCUACUAACAUACAAGUACGAAUUACUUACAUUUGGGGAUCGGAUUCCAAGAUACGUUCGAAUUGAUUCAGAAGAUCGACCGUGUUUGCUUCGGAACGACGCAGCUCCUCUCCUUCCAUAUUUUCUGUUUGUUUCCCGAGAAAAUCCAAGGGAAAAAGAAAACCCUAGGGAAAAUGACAGCUUUAUACGAUGUUGGAACAAAAUGGUAAAUUAAUUUAAAAAAGAACUACGUGGAAGUUUUUUAUUCUUUGUUGCAAUAAGUUGCAGGAAAAAGUAAUGAUGCUGGCCGUAGAUGAUCCAGUUUUGGGCCAAUGUCACACUGACACGUAUCCACCUUCUUCGACUCUUCUUCUCUUGUGUAAAAUUUUGGAGCUGCUAUGGCUAUUCUCUCUCUACAAAUCUCUCUCUCUCUCUCUUCUGAGCAUCAAUCGCCGAAGGAUUUUCUCUCAUUUUCCCUCACUUUCUCUCCCGUUUUCUCUCUCGCCAAACACUCCAGUUCCUCAAGGAUCUGAGGUUUCUUCCACUUCAAAUCUCACCUUUUUUUUUUCUCUUCGAAUCGGGCAAAAAGGCAUUGAUUUGAAACGAAUAUUAUAAUAGAAAGGAAAGAGCUUUGGGGGGAUUCGAAUUUCCGAAUCUAGGGUUCCGUGAUCUGUAUAUGCGUCCGAUGACUAUGGGAAUCGUGGUGGAAGCGGCGUCGUUUGACGCCGAGCUGUUGCAGCUCAAUGAGGUGUCCCCUUUGGCCCUCAAAUCGAAUCCGAGCUCAAUGAGGCAUUGAUUUGUAAUUAGUUGUUGGAAAUGCUAAAGUUUAUAUAUAUAUAUUUUUUAAUUAGGAUACCUAUGAUUUACAUACUACAUAUUGUUUCAUCUUUUCGGAUGCAUGACAGUUUUUUUCAUUUUCCCGACUUUAUGGUUGCAGGUGACACAACUGCUAACUGAAGCAAAGGCAGGUAGGCCCCUGAAUGUUCAGGGAAAUUCUUCUAGUCCACAUGCCACUGCAGGCAGUACUUUGCCUUCUAUGUUUCCAGCAGGCAGUGCACCACCACUGUCACCAAGAAGUUCAUCUGGAUCCCCUCGCAUUAUGAAACAGAGGAUCGGUCCUUCUCAUUUAGGUUCUCCCCUGAAAGUAGUUAGCGAAUCAGUUAAAGAAGUGAUACCUAUUAAACUAAACAUGGUAAAUACCAAUAUUAAACUAAACAUGGUAAAUACAAAAAAUAUAUAUGAUAAUAUUUGGGAAUUUCUUAUAUAUUCAUUAAUCUUCAAAGUGGAGUAUAUAUAGGAGUUACAAUUGGUAUUACAUAUGUACUUCACCAAUGUGGGAACAAUAAACUGCUAUUUACACUUUAACUAAUGUAUAACUCGCAACACUCCCCCUCAAGUUGGUGCAAAGAUGUCACGCAUGCCCAACUUGUCAAGCGAGUCGGAAACGCACUAUUAGACACAGCCUUAGUAAGAGCAUCAGCAAGUUGAUCUUCAGAUCUCACAAACGGAAACAUAAUAAUUCCAGCAUCCAAUUUUUCCUUAAUGAAAUGUCGAUCAAUCUCCACAUGUUUUGUUCGAUCAUGUUGCACUGGAUUAUGAGCAAUCUCAAUAGCAGCCUUGUUAUCAUAAUGAAGUUUCAUAGCACCUUUGUGUUUAAACUCAAGAUCUCUCAACAAUUUUUCCAACCACAACAACUCACAUACACCAUGAGACAUACCACGAAACUCAGCUUCUGCACUUGACUUAGCCACCACUUUUUGUUUCUUGCUUAUCCAAGUAACUAAAUUACCACCCACAAACAUAAAGUAUCCAGAUGUAGAUCGCCGAUCAGUGAUAGAAUCUGCCCAAUUUGCAUCUAUAUACCCUUCGACAUUCAAAUGAUCAUUCUUGGAGAAAACCAGGCAUCUGCCAGGAGCCAUCUUCAAGUACCUCAAAAUACGGGUUACUGCAUCCAUAUGAGCUUCACUAGGUGAGUGCAUAAACUGACUUACCACACUAACUGCAUAAGCAAUGUCAGGGCGAGUGUGAGACAAAUAAAUUAAUCUCACCACAAGCCUUUGAUACCGUUCCUUAUGAGUAGGAACUUGAUCUGGAAAUAAGCCCAGACGAUGAUUCUGCUCAAUCGGAGUAUCAACAGGUUUGCAAUCUAACAUACAUGUUUCAGCUAACAAAUCAAGAACAUACUUCCUUCCAAGAAAAUACUUCAAUUCACCCAAUUCUUUCAUCUCAAACUCAGUAGCUAGGUACUUUUGAAGGUGCUGUAUCUCUUUCUGAUCAUCACCAGUCACUAUCAUGUCAUCAACAUAAAUAAUCAAUGCAGUUAGCUUACCAUUUUGUCGCUUUAGAAACAAAGUAUGAUCUGAAUGACUUUGGAUAUACCCAAACUUCUUCAUUAAACUUGUAAACCUCCCAAACCAUGCUCUAGGAGAUUGUUUCAAACCAUACAAGGCUUUUCGUAACCUGCAUACAACACCUUUUUCAGGAGACGUUCCAAUACCAGGUGGGAGAUCCAUAUACACUUACUCCUUAAGAUCACCUUGAAGGAAAGCAUUCUUAACAUCAAACUGCAACAGAGGCCAAUCCUGGUUUGCUACUAAGGACAGAAGAACACGCACAAUAUUAAGUUUGGCAACAGGAGCAAAGGUCUCCUGAUAGUCCACCCCAUAGGUUUGAGUAUAAUCCUUAGCAACUAAUCUGGCUUUAUACCGAUCAAUAGAAACAUCUACUUUGUGCUUAAUAGUAAACACCCAUCUACAUCCAAUGACUUUCUUCCCAUUUGGUAAUGGAACCAAAUCCUAAGUAGAAUUCUUUUUCAAAGCUUCCAUCUCAACUUUCAUGGCAUUAACCCACUUAGGGUCAGACAAAGCAUCUUGCAAUUUUGUUGGAAUUGAUACACUAGAUAGCUGACAUAUGUAAGAUGCAUAUGGUUGGGACAAACGAUGAGUAGACACAUAAUUGUUGAUAGGAUAUUUGGCUUUAACAUGCAUAUCAGGCUCAUAUUGUACUUUAGGUUUUCCACGAUUAGCUCGUGGAGGCAACUGAUAAGUAGAAGAAUCGUCAGAAUUUACCUCAUGUAUGCCACCAUCUUAUACCAAACUGUUAGAAGAAUCAUCACUGGACGAACCAUCAUCAGACAACUCGUUAGACAUAUCAGCAGCAGGCAACCGAUCAUCAGAAGGUAAUUCAUCAGACAUACUAACAGGCAAUUUGCUGGGCACAUCUGAUUUGUCGUUAGUAGAAAUAGUUCCGGGAAUGACAGGUGACCGAUCACUAUCUAUAACCGACUGAUUAGUAUCACGCAACAUAAUAGGUUAUGUUCCCAACUCUGUCUGUAACACAUCAUCCAUAUCAUCUCUUCGAAUCUGCACUUCACUCCUCCUCUCCCCCUGAAGUGGAAAGUCGGAAGAGGGCUUUACAAAAUACGAAACUUCCUCUUGGAAGGUGACAUCCAUGGUAAUAUAAGUUUUUUGAGUCGGAGGAUGAUAACACUUAUAGCCUUUUUGAUUGUUAGCAUACCCAAUAAAGACACACCGGAGAGCACAUGCAUCAAGUUUACUCCGCUGAUGAGAGUAGACAUGCACAUACACAAUACACCAAAACACUUUCGGAGGAAGCUUUGAGACAGAAACAAGAGAAACAUGUUUUUGUAGCACAUCAAACGGUGUCUGAAAAUCAAGAACCCUACUUGGAACACGAUUGAUCAAAUACACAGCAGCCAAAACAACAUGACCCCACAAAUGAUUAGGAACACAUUUAUCCAACAUCAAGGAGCGAGCAACCUCCAUUAUUUGACGAUUCUUCCGUUCGGACACACCAUUUUGUUGGGGUGUAAACGGAGUAGUUGUCUGGUGAAUCAUACCAUGAUCACGGAAAAAACAUGCCAAAAUGUGAUUCACAUAUUCUCCUCCGUUAUCAGACCUAAAGACCUUAACUUUGGUCUGAAACUGAGUAGACACCAUUGUACAAAAUUCUUGAAGAAGUAACGGAACAUCACUCUUAUUUUUCAUCAAGAACACCCAAGUUACCCGAGUACAAUCAUCAAUAAAAGUAACAAACCAACAGAAUCCAUUAGAAGUAACUUUCGCAGGACCCCACACAUCAGAAUAUAUCAAAUCAAAUGACAAAGUAGCUGUAGAAUCACUUACAUGAAAUGAAGCACAAUGACUCUUAGCCAUGACACAUGUUUCACACUUGAACUCUGAAUCACUACAAGUGCGAAACAAAGAAGGAAAUAGAUGCUUCAUAUAACUGAAUGAUGGAUGUCCUAAUCGUCGAUGCCAUAACCAAAUUUGAUGUCUGUCAUCCACUUUAGCUCUUAAACUUGAUGAUUAUUUGAACCGGAAACAACAGUAUCCUCCAUAGUCAAGAUGUACAAACCCCCUAUCCUUUUACCAUAACUAAUUAUCUUCUAAGUUUGAAUAUCUUGAAAAUAACAAUACGUAGGGUAGAAGUGAGCAGAACAAUAUAAAGUAUCAAGAAGUUUUCCUACCGACAAAAGAUUGUACUUAACAUCAGGAACAAGUAAAGCACGAACCAGUGAUAAGGUUGGAGUCAGAGAGAUAGUGUCUUCACCCUUCACAGGGGAAAGUGCUCCAUUUGCACUAGUAAUAUACGGAUCACGAACAUAGUCACAUAACUCAUCAAACACUCUAGGGUCACUAGUCACAUGAUCAGUGGCCUCAGUAUCAAUUAUCCAUUUAUUUGUUCCACCAAGAUGCAUAACAACACUAUGAUUAUAUUGAGCCAUUGAACAAAAUCACGAACAAUAAAAGCACAAAAGAUACGCAACGGAAUGAAAACAAUUUAUCAGAAUACUGUAGCAAUCACUGUUCACGGCACUGUAGCAAAGACUAUUCACGGCAAUGUAGCAAUCACUGUUCACGGCACUGUAGAAGACCACAGUUCACGCACUAUAGCAAAGCACUGUACUGUAGCCCGACACUUUUUUUUUUUUUUUCCCACACGGAGGAAAUCACGAAAAAUGUGGGCACAAAAUUAAAGCACACAGGUCACCAAGAGCGAACUGCUCUGAUGCCAUAUUAAACUAAACAUGGUAAAUACCAAAAAUAUAUAUGAUAAUAUUUGGGAAUUUCUUAUAUAUCCAUUAAUCUCCAAAGUGGAGUAUAUAUAGGAGUUACAAUUGGUAUUACAUACGUACUUCACCAAUGUGGGACAAUAAACUAUUAUUUACACUUUAACUAAUGUAUAACUCGCAACAAUACCUCAGGUUUGACAAAUCCUAAUCCUUUUCGGCAAUAAGAGUGGCACUAUUUUUUAUUUCUUUUGUUUUGCGUUGUAUUUGUCAUUUGAACUAUCUAGCUGUAAUGGUUUUCUUUAAUUAGAGGGAAAGGUAGGUUAUUAUUUCUAACUUGGAUUUUGUACCACUUGCAGUUUUACUUUCUAAAUGGUCGCCCGCCUCCAAAUGAACUAAAAGAUCAAUGCUUAUUAGAAUCAAUCAGUUUUUCUCUGGUAACUCAGACGGACUGCAGAUUCAUGGUGAGAUAUACUUAAGAUAUGAGUUUGUGUUGUACAACUAGAAUUAGCUUUUAACUGUCUCCUUGGUCGUACCCAGUGCACAAGGCUCCCGCUUUACGCAGGGUCUGGGAGAGGUGAAUGUCGGCUAGCCUUACCCCCAUUUAUGGAGAGGCUGCUCCCAAGUCUCGAACCCGAGACCUACCGCUCAUGGGCGAAGGCACUUGCCAUCGCACCAAGUGCGACCUCUAACUGUCUCCUUGGUGUAUCAGAAUUUAAAUCAGUUGCUAAGGAUAUAUGCAAGCGGCCCUCAUUCUUCUCCAUAUCUCUUUUCAGAAAAAUUGAUGCUAAGAGCAGUUCCAGCGUUGGCUGGUGCUCGGGGGAAAGGCUAGUGAACAGGGCCAGAUAGCCCGACUGAAGUGCUCCAGCGUGUGGGAACUCGAGGGACAGGGCAAGACUGAGCAACAAGCCCGUGAGGAAUUGCUAGCCCGCGAGCCCGAGUGGAUGUGACGCCAGGGCUGACGUCAUCCUGGCGUCAGCCCAAUUAUAUAUAUAUUUUUGUCAGGCGCGUGCCCCUCACCUGCACGUGGGGGCGCGUCAGCCAACACCUUUUCAGGAGCCGGGCCCACGUCACAAUUUGCCAAUGUUACUGUUGGAAAGACACGUGGCUUCCCACGGUCCGUUUGAUCUCAAUGGUCUAUUGGUAAUAUUCACUUUUUGUCAUUGCUUGUGAAAGGGUGUAGUUUCAAAGUUGUUAUCCCCACCCCCUUUCAAUAUCUUUCCUAGCUGUGGUUUAUCUUAUGUAACCACAACUAUUUUCCUUUACUUUUAAAAUGUCUCGAUUCUUGUUCACCAACCCUAUUACCCCACUUUAAGGUGCAUGAAUCUUUCUCUCUGAAGUGGAUAAACAAUGCCCUUUAUAAGGGUUGAUUGCGGAGAAGGGGUCAAGUAGCUUUCCUGGAGGCGCUUUUUUUUUCUGAGCUGACUUGUAGUGAACUCUUGGUUUAACUAAUAUUGUUACCUCACCUUACUAUAAAUUCUGGGUGGCCCCUGCUCUAGUCAUCCGGACAAGAAAACGGUACAGCUUGAGGAGAAGCUUGAGAUAGAUAUCAUCGGACUUGGGGCGCUUCGUCUUCUUGCUUUUACCUCCUGCCACGAGAACAAUCUUCAUUGUUGUUGCUGGUGUUGAAGUUCGGUUGCUCGGGACGCCUUUCGUUGGGCCUUUAUUUGGCCAAUUCAUUGAUCAAAUAUGGGAUCCUGUACUGCCAUAUGGUUGAGCCAACGAUGAAAACAGUAGGAGAAAAAGAGUGAACCCUCCCCCCCCCCAAAAAAAAAAAGUCUUGUACCCAUGAGAAAGGCUUGUAAUGGUACCAUCAUUGUUGGCAACAAUUUUUGCUGGUGGUGGUUACGACAAGGAAGUUGGGAACAAUGAUGUGGCUGAGGGCUUUGCAGAUCUUAUUGCUUAUGGUCCUUGGAUCUUGGCUAACCCAAACUUUUUUACUUUAUGUUUAUUCAGCUUUAAUUCUGAGGGUAUUUAAGUCUAUUUAAGUGGAUUUUCUGUUAUUUUUGAAAGAUUUUAUAAAAAAUGACAUUUAUGAAAUUGAGUGUUAAAUUUUGGCUAUUAUUGAUAAAAACUCAAUAAAAAUUAUCCCGUAAGUAUACAAGAUUAAGUUUAAGACGUCUUAAUAAUCAGAAGAUGCCUUUAUACAUUAUCCUUUCAUCAAUCAUGUUACAUGACAAAAAAAUGAGGUGUUGACUUAUAAGAACUAGCUAAAGGUAGCAUAUUCCUUUCUUUCUUUGUGGUUUCAACCUAUCCUUGCCCUCCUUACUAAAUCAUGUAACACAAAUGCUAUUCACACAUCCCAUUUUAUUUCUCACACAAAUCUUGAUAAUUUAUGUCUGUUGAUCUUCUUCAAUUCAUUUAAUCUGAUGGUCGAAAAUUAAAAGAGUAUGUAGGAAGUAAAAUGGAAUGUGUGGAUAUCACACCCCUAAAUUAAUUGCGACAAAAUAGAUUUUCAAAUACUUUUAUACAUUUGAGUUUGAGCUCUAUUUUUAUCAAUUACUUUAAUAAGUUGGCGACUACAUGAUGGGAGGAGGCAUGCGUUGAUGCUUAUAGUUGGCGACUACAUGAGAAGAAGAGGGAUUCUCUGAACAUAUUAAAAACCUUAAAUGCAUUAAUAAGUUAAAUUAAACCACCACAGAAACAAGAAAGUUCAAAAAGAGAGAGCAUAUUAUAAACAGAUCAAGGCAUGCAAAAAAAUACACUCUAUCUGCAAACUAGCUGAUUAAACCAGAAAGUUUCCUAGCUUACAUAGUCGUCGUCGUCUUGGGCCUCCUCAUCAUCACCCUCUUCAUUAUCAUCCGCAACUUCUUGGUCCUGAUCAUCGUCUUAUUCCGCCUCGUCCUCAUCAACACCCUCAUCAUUAGCAUCAGCACAUUGUUGGUCCUCAUCAUCGUCUUGUUCCUCUUCCUCCUCAAAAUCCUCCUCAUCAUCCCCAUCAAAAUCCUCAUCGUGUUGUCAUCAUCCUCAUCAAAAUCAUCAUCUUCAUAAUCCUCGUCAAAAUCAUCGACUUCGGUAGAAAUUUCUUGUAAGGCCCGUUCGUAAGGGAUAUAAUGGUAAUCAAAAAACGAACCUUUGAAAGUCAUAAGUUUGUCGCAUACUAAACGUACCCCUAUUUUCUUCACCGGACAAUGUGCAAUAACAUGGACCAAAUCGCUUUCUUCCAAAUUGAACUCGAUUUCCGACAACGAUAAAUUUGCCAGCCAAAUGAUCUCUUCAAAGAAAAAAAAUCUCCUAGUUCAACACAAAAACUAGUACCCUUGGUGUGAUUAAUAACAUAAAUAUAACUCGGCCUGAUGUAAUCACGAGGAACAAAAGCCAGGCACACAGCCAAUGCUUUUGCAUUAGAACCAAUUUCCUUAGGCACUUCAAAAGAGACUUGGGUACCCUCGUUUACAUGAUUGAACCAAGUGGGAAUUUGUCUUCCUACAAAACUCAUGGUUCCACCUCCUGUCCAUCCCUAUACCAUGUGGAACAAGAUUUGUGUGAGUACUACAUACAUAACACACAUAUUUGUGAGGGGGGAAGAGAGGGGGGUGGUGUGGAAGAGAGAGAGUACCUGUAUCGUGCUAUCCUUAAGAAGGAAAUCCAUGACAUUGUUGUGUGUUGUCAUAUAAAGAUUGAGUCCCGAGUUUAACGCGCUAUCCAAGCCUGGAAACUCAAUGAGUUUCGGGGAAAAAAGAAUCACUGCUGUCGACAUGCCUGAAAAAUCUGGCAUUCUUUCUAAUACAGAGCAGUCGUCCAUGUGCAGGAAACCCAAACUUUUUGGUAAAUCUGUAAUCUCAACAAGGUUUCUGCAACCAUUCAAGGAUAAUACAAGAAGCUUGGAGAGGCCACUGAGGCUUGGAAGGCUCCCAAAAUUAUUGUCAUCUAGACUUAACUCCACUAAACAAGGUAGACUACUCCCAAUAUCAUUAGGCACUUCCUCUAUAUUGCUGUCCUCCAAAAUUAAGCUUGUCAAAGAGCGUAAACCUUGUAAGGAAGGUAGCUGCAAAGAACACUUCAAUUUACUCAAAGAUAUGCGCUCGAGCUUCUCUAGUCGUACGAUGGAAGGUGGUACUUUUUUUAUGGCCGUCCCAUCUGCAUAAAGAGUGACCAAUGAUGCCAUUUCUCCCAAGUGCUCAGACAAGCUUUGGAAUCUUGAACAACCAUCGAGAACAAGAGUUUUGACAGAUUUCAACUUGUAGAAACUCCUCGGAAGAGCCUUAAGCGUUUCACAGUCCUUCAAAUUCACCAACACAAGACUCUUGAGAUCUCCGAUGGACUUGUGAACUUUAGCCAACCUCUUACAGUCUUUGAGUAUCAAUUUCUCAAGAUUUGGGAAUUUCGAAAAGUUUGGCGAUUGUGUUAGAUCGUGGGAGUGGCUGAGAUUCAGAAUCUUCAACUUAUCAAGCAACUGUUAAGAAAAAUCAAGUUGAAAUAAAAAAUUUAAAUCCAAAAAGAAGAUACAAAAAACAUAAAAAUAAUUCCAAAUUUGGUUCAGGUUACGCAUUGUACUUACCCCAGAAUACCCACAAAGAACUUGUCUGAGGCUGCUGUACUGCAUGUCGAUAACAACUGUGUUUGGUUGACAAAGUUCUAUUGGUAUGAACUCCAAUGGGAAUCCAUGCCAGCACAACCAUCUUAAUUUUUUGGAAAGAUAUUGGUAUUGCCCAGUGAGCCGAACGUAGUUUAGUUGGAGCAAUCUCAGUCUCUUCAUAUUUCUAAACGCCUCAGUACUGAAACUAGUCUCUUCAGGACUUGGCAAAUUCAAAGCCAGACCUUCAAUUUUUUCAGUUCCCUGCUAUCCGAAAAAACAGACUCCAAAUAAGAGAAGGCUUUGCAUGAAAAAAAGUAUAUUACUAACUUACAUAUGCUUACACAUUUAACAUAAAGUUUGAUUGGGAAAGUACUUACAAAUUUGUCUAUCAAUACAUCAUUUACAUCUUCAGGAUGCCACAAUCUACUCCGUUCUAUAGGGAAAUCAGGAUUUUCUGCAUGCACGAUAUCUCUGCCCAUAUCCCGAAGCAAAUCAUGCAUCAUAAUCUUGUUUUCUCUAUUAAUAGUUACAAGGCACCGGUCAAGGAGGACCUUGAUUCCUGUUGUUGCAUAAAAGCCACAACCAUCCAAGAUUUGUAUGACAUCGUUCUUGUUCAUUCCGAUAAAAAAACAAGCUAUAUCGAGGAAUAUCCGCCUUUUGUAAUUAUCAUUUAGCCUGUUGUAGCUUAUUUUCAGUUGUGCCUGAAUUUCUGCACGAGGAAUUAUUUUCAAUUCAUCCAAUAUACUUCUCCAUUCAUCUACGCUUCGUUUGAAAAGAGUAGAUCCUAAAACUUCAAGAGCCAGCGGCAAUCCUCCACAGUAAUUGACAACUUCUCUUUCGAGCGCAAGAUAUUGACUAGGACAACUACUACUUCUGAAAGCAUGCCAACUUAGGAGCUCAAGAGCUUCUUCUCGGUCCAUUACUUUCGCCUGAUAUAUCUUAUCAACUGCAAAUUCUUUUAGCACACUUUCGUUUCUAGUUGUGAUGAUGAUUCUGCUCCCCGGGCCAAAAAAGUGGCAAUUUCCAACUAAUUCGCGUAAUUGCUUCACAUCGUCUACAUCAUCAACUAUGACAAGUACCUUUAAGCGUCGAAAUCUUUCCCUUACCAAGGCGGUCCCUGCAGCAACACUACUUACCUUUGUCUUGGUUUGCAAGAUAUCAAAAAGAAGUUGUUUUUGCAAUUUUUCUAGUUUCUUUUCCCUCACUUUUUCAAGGAAACUUUUACCUUCAAACCUUUCAUAAAAUUCGUUAUAAAUGGCUUUAGCAAUUGUUGUUUUACCUAUUCCACCCAUGCCUGAAAUUCCAAUCACACGAACAUCAUCUGAAUCUCCGAUGCCUAAAUAAUUACUGAUAUCUAGCACUCGAGUAUCUAUUCCGACUUGAUAGAGCGCUACGUCAAAGUAUUUGUUGUUCAACUUCGUAGUGACGUCAUUGGUAAUCAUCCUGAUAAACUUUGCUUCAUGCCUGGCAUUAGUCAAGUUGAGAAGCAAAACGAAGAUUGUUAUACAACGAAAUCGAACUAAUUAAUACACAAAAUUAUUUAUCAUGACUAGAGAUUUUAAUUAAGACAAUUUUUUUUGAGGUGGUGUGUUUAAACUUAGCAAACAUCAAUUAAAAUUAAAAUAAAGAAACACAAACAAAAAAACCAGCAUCCCUUCCCUCCGCAGCCAAUCGCCGGCAGCUUCCCAGCUGUGAUUAGUGUAGCCUUAACAGUUUAAGCUUUAUUGUAUGAUUUUAUUACAGAGGUCUAAGAAAUCGUAUGAUUCCAAAUUAAUAAGCAAAGGUACGUUAAAGCCUUAAUUCAUAAGAAAAGAAAUUAGAAAGUACCCGUCUAAAGUGUUUCUGAGAUCCCAGCCAGACAAAUUCGAAGCUUCAGUAAGAGCAGCUCUCCACCUCUCUACCUUUUUUCAUCUGUAUGUUUCAGAAACGAUUGUGCAAAACUACAAGUCUGUUUCCUAACAUGCGAAGGAUCAACGUCAUAGAAUAUUGGCAAAACUAAUUGCCCUAGCGUUCUUCUACACUCCAUGAUCUUAACCAGCUCCUCGAGACACCAGCUGGAGUCCGAGUACCGUCUUGAGAAGACGAUGAUAGAGAUCCUAGAACCCUGGAUUGCAUGCACAAGUUCGGUAGUUAUAUCUUCUCCUCUUCUUAGUUCGUCGUCAAUAAAGGUGUUGAUUCCGGCCUUUGUCAAUGCUUCGUGGAGGUGGCCCACGAAGUUUUUACGUGUGUCUUCACCUCUGAAGCUUAUGAACACUUCGUAGAGCAAGCCUUUUGAGAAGGAAGACAUGGAUGGGGAGGUGGAGGCGGAUGAUGAGGAUGAGAUUGAGGGUGAGGAGGUGGAGGAGGACGAUGAGGAGGAGGUGGAGGAGGACGAUGAGGAUGAGGGCGAGGAGGAGGAUGAGGACGAGGUUUUAUCGGGGACGGAGAUAUUCAUUUAGCGAAAGACGAGGCCUAGGGAGUAGAGGAGGAAGAUGAGGACAUCAUAGACAAGAUCGGAAUUGCGAGCCGUAAAGUGGUUGGACACUAACACCAGCACCAAAGUUAACAGCUUCCCUAAGCUCGACCAGGUAUCCAUUUCCUUCAUUUUCUUUAUGCAAAUUGAAGGUUUUUGGCUAUAUUGAUUUUCUUUCUUCUGCAGGACUUCAUUGCAAGAGUUAAUUUGAAAGUACCCUAUUGCAAAAGGGAUCUGACUUCUCUGCCUUCCCACUUCCCAUACAUUCUGAUCCCCUCUUAUUUGUGCGGUCACGGUUAAGCCACGUCAACAUUUUAUAUUACUAUUGACUUUUGUCUUAUUAUCUUUAUAAAAAAAUUAAUAUAAAAUAUUAACGUGGCUUAACCGUGACCGCACAAAAUAAGAGGGGAUAGGAGUGUAUGGGAAGUGGGAGGAGAAAAGUCAGGUUCAUUACGGAAUCUCGGAUUAUGACGACCUCUACCAGUCUUCGUAUUCAAUUUUUUAUGACGACCUCUACCAGUCUUCCUAGUCAAUUUUUUAAUUCAACUUACAAGUUUGGUAGAGAGUGCCAAAUGCAUAUUUGCAGGGUUCUCACUUUCAGUAUGGCUAAAUAUCAAGGAAAAAUAUAUAUUUAUAGACAAUCUAUACUAUAUAUUAAGAAAACCCUCCUUGUCAAAAUUUUCCCCAUUUUUCCAAUUUUGCCCUCACUUUUGAUACACAACCUUGACAAAAAGGAGGGCAAAAUAGUAAUUUUGCAUCUUUUGAGAAAAUGACAAUCAUAUCCCUAUUUUCCCUAUUUUACCCUCACUUUUGAUACACAAUAUUUACAUAAAGAGGGCAAAAUGGUAAUUAUGUAAUAUUAAGAAAAAUAUGCCCUUAUUAGGAGAUCUCAUCAUCAUUGUCUCAUACUCUUUUUAAAAAAUUUAAAAACUAAUCACACUCCUUAAUCUAAAAUAAAAAAGAAAAUGAAAUUGUUCACACACAAAGUGUGUGCUCAUCUUCUAGUUUGGUAUAAAAUAAUCGAAGUUGUUAUGGAAAAUGGCAUCAAGGAUGUUAGAGCAUCCCCAAUGGGGGCUUUAUCCUCCAUGAGGCUACCACAUUUUUAGCCUUAGCGAGAAAUUUCAUCCUCAAUGAGCCAGAAAAUGGGGCUAGAUCCACCACUAGGGCUAGUAACUUCAUUUCUUGGGUAGCAUAAAAUCAGGCUACAUCUAGCCCCAAAAAACAGUGGGUCCCACAAAAAAAGUAGCAACCUAUGUGAGCAAAAUUCUAUCAUUCUCCCUCCACUUGCGAAUACACUCAUACUCUCAUUUUAUUAUUUUUUAAUUCUUUUUUCUUACUUACUUUGCUUGCAAUUUGACUAAUUAAUGAUUGUUUUAAAUUCUAUAAGAAUUAAAAUUUCAAAUUGAUUUAACGUUCAUGAGCAUUGAUGGGUGAAAUUUUCAAAUAUUUUUUUUCAAAAUUAUAUGAUACUAAUUUACCAAUUGGUGUUAGGUAAAAUUAUUGUAUUAUACGUGAAAAUCAAAUUAUUUCAGAAAACGAAGUGAGGGUUUAUUUCUUAUAAUAAAUGAGAUUGAGAUAAGGGAAUCUAAUCUAACAAACAAUUCAUAAGUGAUAAAAUCUAACUUUGUCACAAUUUGAACUUUGUAGGUGGAAGGGUUAAAUUUAAGAUAGCACGUCCAAAAAUCAACUUAAGAAAAGCUAACACAAAAAAAAAAAAAUUCAUUGCUUAAUCAAAUUACUACAUAAAUAAAUAUAUAUAGCCCAUAUAGAGCCCGAAAGAUAUAGCCCCUCAUUGUGAGAGAUUCUUUUAUACAACCCCAAAAAUUUCUUGGAACUAUAAAAUGGGUUGUAUCCAUCACUUUUCCAGCCCCAUAUAAAAUAUUAAAACCCCUCACUGGGGAUGCUCUUAGGAUUGGUAGUUUAAUAGUGGCCUUGUCUUUCAUCAUCGUUACCAUCCGUAGUAGUUGAAGAAUGACUCUGAUAUAUGUCCAACCACUUUGGAUUUAUAUGUCCAACCACUUUGGAUUUACUUGUGCUCUUACUUUAGAAUGUUGAAAAUUCAAACUGCAUCAAAACAACAGAUCAAUUGAUUUUAAAUGUUUAUUUUUUCACAAUUGAUGUUACUUAUUUUUAAGCUAAAUUAAGAGAAUAUAAGUAUUUUAAUUUAUAAUGAACUUAAGUCAAACAAAAACUAUCUAUUCACAAGGACAAUCCACCGCCUUACAUAUCAAACCUUGUACCAAACUCCUUCUAGACCACUCUUCCAUAUGCCCCCGGACCCACAGAAGUGUUUUAGGCUGAACUAGAAAAUGUGCCCGCGCUUCGCUGCGGGGGUUGAAUGCAUCUGUUGUGAGCUUGAAUAAUUUCCACAGAAAGUGGGCAAAAUGGUGGUAGGAACAUAAUCACAUUCUCAAAUGUAGCAAUUCAGUUACCAUAUAUUUGAGUUGAGUGAAUCCAACAAAAUCACCAAUCAACAUACGCAUCGUAUCAGUAAUCAAAAAUUGAAAAUUUAUCAAUUAUUUUCAAAUAUUCAAUAAAUUAAACCACACAAAAUUAAAAAAUAUAUGACGCGACCCUACAGCGACAACAAAUUGAUUUCUCCACUGCAGAGAGGUUGAUCACCAGAAGCAGGGUCAAUAAUGGCCAGCCUCUAAUGAGCAAAGAAACAAUCUCCAGGCUGGCAUAGGCCACUCCAAUUCAGGUCAACGGGGAUUCAAUCUAUCAAAUCCAUUCAUGCAGAUUGAUUACCUGAUUGGUAUUGAAAAGGAAACAAAACCCCCCCAAUUUUUUGAAAUUUAGAGUAGGAUGGAUCGCUUACCUUUAGCAAAGCGGAGGAACGUUGGUGGUGCGGAGGGACUGGUGGUCCAGCGCAAUUCGCUAGAUUUGAGAGCGAGAAAAGGCUCUCCACUGCAUUUUCCAUGCAUUCAAUCAUCAAAUUGUAGUUCGUUUCAAUUGAUUUCUGCUGAAAUUUAAAAAAUUAAUAAACAUUUCUAAAAAUAAAAGUAAACUUCAAGCUACAGACAGUUUGACUUGAAUGGCUUCAGCUGGAGCUAAGUAGGCUUACAGUGGGUGAAUCAAAGGGAUAAAGACACUGCAAUUUUCAGCUUCAUACCAAAGGAUAGACAAAGCACGACAGCAUGUUGCUAACUAAUUGUUCAAUCGAACUGAAAGGAAAAGUUGCAGGACAAAUAGCUCACUAAAGAAUCCCAUGUUGAGGACCUUUCCAGGCACGCUUUAUUCAACAGAGCUUUCAGGUUUUCAGUUUUCAGCUUAUCUUGAAAUUCAAUGCGUCGGGAAUCAGGGAUUUGCUGAGGCAGGUAAGAGUAACACAAGCAUCCAGUCAAUUCGAUUUGCUGAGGCAGUUGCAGUUGCAGGUAUGAGUAAAGUCAUGACAAAUUGUGAAUGGAGGAGAAAUACUAUUACCAUAAUCAACCAUAAUAUGUAAGUAGCCGAAUGUUUAGCCUGUGCUUGGUAGUCAUCGAAGCUAUUAUCUGGAAUGAUGGAGCAGGAGUCGAGGAGCUGUAACUCGUUAUUCAUAAAGAUUCUGAAGUCGUCAUUCAUGCUGUUAUUCUGCUUCGCAUGGCUGGACAGACCAGUAUGAUCAGUUAUGAAAUGCUUUAUCCAAAAUAAGAAAGGAAGCGGCGAUGAAGCCAUAGAGCCUGUUUACAGUGAAUACCACAGAAAUUAAAACUCGGGGGGUUCUCAGAUGAUUAGUGAAAUAUACAAAAACACCCCACGUACCUCUCUUCCUAUGUAGUGCUUUAUCAACAUUUCAUCCCAAUCAAGCUCUUCCUGACAUGACCACAUUUGACACAAGUAUCAACUGUAAACGUUCAUGUAACGAAGAUAGUACAAUAUAAAAAGUGCUUGCCCAUAGGAACUCAUGGUCAUAAUUACUGAAAAGAGAUUAAAGAAGAUUUGUACCUUCCACAGCCGAUAUAUCUCAACACUGUAACCAGAAGCUGAAAUCUCUUGUUUAUAGCAUUCGUCCUCUAAAUCUUACGCAUCAGCCGCUGCAAAAUGAUAGAAACAUUGAUUGUGAGGGGAAUUAAAGUCCAGCACAUCGACAACUUUGUCUCUCAGUAUCACAACAAAAGGAAAGCAAGGUCUCACACUGCGAUAAUGGGAGCAACUAUGAUCAGCAACAUGCAAGGAGGCCCAGGUUCGGGAUCUUUCUAAUUCAUGUAGCAACUGCAAGCACAAAUUUAUGGUGCAUAUAACUCAUCAUAAACACGGACGAGAGAGAAAAAUGGAUAUGUAUGGUACAAAUACGAAUCUCGGAAUAUGAAACUGCAUAAAAUCAACAAUUACUCUCAAACUAUCAGUCACAUUUGUUGAGAAUGAAGGCUAAAAAUAAUUCUCUGCUUAUCCUUUUCAAAUGUAUAGGAGUGCAAUUUGGCUCAGAAUUGUUUACAUCACAUAUAAAUAUGAAAUUCCUAGAAGGAAACCUGAAUUAUUCCCCGGAUAAGAAAAAUCGAGAUUAGAUCUAACCUGUUCUCUUGUCAUGUAGGAAACCAACCAGCAACGGUGGUUCCAUGCACGGUAAUUCAUUUUUGACCUCUGUAAAGAAAGAUUUUGAAUUACACAAAAGUGAACAAUGACAAGGAAAAUUCUCACAUAAGAAAAUUGUGGAACAUAUGAAAUGCCCAUACAGAAUAACAGUUGCUAUUGAAACCAUGGACACUGAUCCACAUCACGUUUGGAAAAGAGAGAGUGAAUUACAACUAUUAUCUGUACUAGUUUGAUACAGAUAUUUAGCAGCUCAGUAGGAAACCUUAUUUUGCAGACAAGAUGACUGCCAGAUGCACACAAUUAUAAAAGUGCACAAUGUGUUGGGGUGACGGAAGUCAUUUCUCAAGUCUUUUAUGCGGUGUGUGUGAGUUAUGUUGUUUUUCCCUACGAAAGCAAUAAUGAGACUGAACAAAAACAACAUAUAAGAUAAUUGAAUUAAAGUUUAAAUAAACCUUUGUAAAUUAAAAGCAUGCAGUUCCUGAACUGAAUUUAAACCUCAGCUAUUUUCUCCACCAGCUCAGAGUCUUUGGUCACAAUCUCCGACAGAGUUGAACACUUUCCAGCAAUCGACUUGAUGACCCACUGCCUGCAAUGAUCGAUAUGUUCUUAAAAUUCAAUUAUUAAAGUCAUUACAUGGGAAAACUAUAAUGAGGGACUCGAUUAAACCCUACCCGGCUGAGUACUUAUAAAUAAGAAAGUAUAGAAAUCAUGCCAGUUGUUAAGCAUAUAACGGAAAACUUCUGCUAAAAAUGCUACCUAUGGCUCCAAGCAUACUCAAACUUAGGUGAAUAUGAAAGAACAAGUGCUGACAAGAGAAGUUCAUCCAAAAAUGCUGAGUGCUUAUGCUUCUGCGACACAACAAGCUUCCUGCAUCACAUAUACUAGACCAAGUAGGUGUCAUGACAUAAAUUGAAAAGCAGACAAGAUCAAGAAGAUCCAAAAUUAUUGAUAUAUAAUUAUAGUAAAUAAUUGCACAUCAAAAACUCUAGAGGAAGAUAGAUGAAUCUCCAUGUCAGGAAACCAAAGAACAUGACGCUACAAAGGACCGUUGCUUCACAUGCAUAUCUGCUACUAUUUUAAAACAAUUAUGUUAGAACAAGUGUAAGAGAGAGGAAAAAGCACUACUGAACCGAAAAUGAAAAGGGGGAAAACCUGGAAUGCCAUGCAGUGCCGAAAUCACUACUUAGCAACAAAAGCGCCCUGCUAUGCUUCAUGACGUCACUUUCAAAACUAUUAUCCAAAGAUAAUGACACAUACAAAGACUUCUCAUCCCCAGAUACAUCUGAUCUGCUGUUAAGUGCCUUCUAUUGUCUACUUGCUGCCAUAAACGCAUGCUUAGAAGCUUCAUAUAACGGGAAAAAAAAUUGCGUUGAAAUCCCCAACUUAUGAUCCCCAUUCCAAAAAACUGAGUUGCCAUUAGCUGAGCGCAUCACAGUACUGCCAUCAGAUGAGGGUGAGAAAUGGACUGCCUCUUUAUUCAGCUUGGAAAAUUGGGACGGGUGAAGAAAUACCACUUCAUCUCUGGGUUCAAUCAAGAGGAAAGAACAAUAUAUAAGACGAUGGCAUUACUACAUAUUCCAAAAACGUAACUGAGAACCCUUCCAAAAUUAAAAAAGAGAACACCUCUACACAAAAUCAUAAUGCACCCACACACACACACACACACACACACACACAAUUCAAAAACUUUCAGCAUAAGAAUAAGGCAUACUUGGACCGAAAUCGAAAUUCCAGAUUCGGUAACAGUAAUGAACUAACACUGAAUCAACAUUUUGAAUUUGAACUAACACUGAAUGGACAUUUUCCAAAAAAUAUGAAAUCCCAAGUAAAAUCAAGCUGUUACUUUUACAUAUGCAUGGAUCAACUCAUUUGGGAUCAAAUAUCUGUACUUUUCGACACGGAAAUUACACUUUGUGUACACCAACCAAGCACGAAUAAAACCUAUAUAUACAAAACUCUAUGGGGCAUUUCAUCGAACACAAAGUCUGCAUCUUUACUGAAAACAGAGAAGCUAAACCUGAAAUCACUGAUUAUCUACUAACAUACUACUAACAUACAAGUCAGAAGAUCGACCGUGUCUGCUUCGGAACGACGCAGCUCCUCUCCUUCCAUAUUUUCUGUUUGUUUCCCGAGAAAAUCCAAGGGAAAGGAAAACCCGAGGGAAAAUGACAGCUUUAUACUAUGUUGGAACAAAAUGGUAAAUUAAUUAAAAAAAGAAGUACGUGGAAGUUUUUUAUUAGUUGUUGAAAUAAGUUGCAUGAUGCUGGCCGUAGAUGAUCCAGUUUCGGGCCAAUGUCACACUGACACGUAUACACCAUUCUUCGACUUUUAUUUUCUUGUAUAAAAUUUUGGAGCUGCUAUGGCUAUUCAGAAGAGAAUGCUUUGAAUAAUGAUAUAUUCUUCUCAAUAAGAGGAACUUAUAGGUGUACAACCCUAACAUAAAAGGAAAAAAAACUAAUAACAAGUGAUUACAUGGGAUUACAUAUCAAUUAGGGAUCCUACCUAAAAUACAAAAGUCAACACUCCCCCUCAAGUUGGUGCAUAUAUGUCGCUCAUGCCCAACUUGUGUAAGAAACUUGAAAACUUGUGACUCGAAACAGCUUUUGUGAGGAUAUCUGCCAACUGAUCUUCAGUUCUUAUCGCCGGUACUUCAAUUAUUUUCCCUUCCAAUUUUUCUUUGAUGAAGAAUCGAUCAACUUCAACAUGCUUUGUUCUAACAUGUUGUACUGGAUUAUCUGCAAUGUCACGAGCAGCUUUAUUAUCACAAAAUAAUUUCAUGGGCUGAUCAUGUUGUAUACCCAAAUCACUUAACAGAAGCUUAAGCCACAAAAUUUCACAAAUCCCCAAAGCCAUACCUCUGUAUUCUGCUUCUGCACUGGAACGGGCAACCACAUUCUAUUUCUUACUUCUCCAUGUAACCAAGUUACCCCCAACAAACGUAAAGUAACCUGAUGUUGAGCGUCUAUCAUCAAUAGAACCUGCCAGUCUGCAUCAGUAUAACCUUCAACACUAAAGUGAUUAUUCCUCUUAAACAAAAUUCCUUUGCCCGGACUUCCCUUCAAAUAUCGCAAUAUUCUCAUCACGGCAUUUAUAUGUUGUUCUCCAGGAUCAUGCAUGUAUUGACUCACUACACUCAAGGCAUAAGCAAGGUCCGGUCUUGUGUGUGCCAAAUACAUCAACCGGCCUACUAACCUUUGGUAUCUUCCUUUGUCAACUGGUACUUGAUUAGGAUCAACACUAAGCUUUAAUCCUUCUUCUAAUGGUGUAGCUAAUGGCUGACAAGCUGACAUGCCAGUUUCGUGCAACAAAUCAAUAAUAUACUUCCUUUGAGACAAGAAAAUUCCAGAACUGCUUCUCGACACCUCAAUCCCUAAAAAAUAUUUUAGGGAUCCAAGGUCCUUCAUUUCAAAUUCUGCAGACAGGUAUCUUUGCAAGGCCGCACGUUCUUCAGGAUCAUUACCUGUUACCACCAUAUCGUCUACAUACACAAUAAGUGCAGUAAGCUUCCCAUUCUGUCUUUUCAGGAACAAAGUAUGAUCAGAGUUACUUUGUCUGUAACCAAAUGCUCUCAUAGAUUUUGUGAAUCUUCCGAACCAUGCUCGAGGGGACUGCUUCAAGCCAUACAAGGAUUUCUUCAACCUGCACACUUUUCUUUUGUAUUUAUCUGGAGCAUUACAUCCCGGUGGAAGAUCCAUAUAAAUCUCUUCUGUCAAGUCUCCAUGCAAGAAGGCGUUCUUCACAUCGAACUGUUGUAAGGGCCAAUUAAGAUUUGCAGCCAAGGACAACAAAACACGAACUAUGUUGAUCUUGGCUACAGGUGCAAAUGUAUAUGUGUAGUAGAUUCCAUAUUUUUGAGUGUAUCAUUUGCUACCAGUCUUGCCUUGAAACGAUCCACCGUCCCAUCUGCUUUGUAUUUCACAGUAUAGACCCAUUUGCAUCCCACAGGUUUCUUGCCAGCUGGCAAAUCUGUGAUCUCCCAGGUAGCAUUCUUCUUCAAAGACUUCAACUCUUCAUUCAUUGCUACUUGCCAACGUGGAUCAGUUAAAGCCUCCUGCACACUGUUAGGAAUAGAUACAGUAGAUAAUUGAUGUACAAACGACUUAUUUGAUUCUGACAGGUGACUGGUAGACACAUAAUUACUUAACGGGUAUAACACAUUAGACUCAAGGUUGGGCUUACUCACCGGAUACCUAGUUUUGCAUUUAGGGUCGGCUUCAUAAGUAAGUUUAGGAAUACCUCGGUUGACGCGAUCAGGGAGAUGAUGUGGUGGUGGUGCAUCCGGGAUCGAAGACGAUUGAUUAUGGUUAUUGGGACUCAAGAUCGACUGUGAGGUAGCUGGCGACACAGGGCUGUCUGGUGAUGAGGAAACUGGCAGUGAGCUAUCAGGCAGUGAGUUAUCUGGCGAUGUCGACUCGUCCCUUUCAAGGUUUUCAACAUUGUUUCCAUGUGAAUGAUCACCACUUGUCUCCAAGACAUUACCACUUAAUUCCAAUUCAUUCACAUCAUUAUUUUCGUGUGAGUGAUCACCACUUAUUUCCAAGACAUCACCAUUUAAUUCCAAAUCAUUCACUCUAUCUAUAUCUGGAAUAGUAUAAUCAAGAGUUUGAACUUCUUUCUGAUUCUCCCCCUGAAGUGAAGACUCGGGAUUGGCAAAGUACAUAUCAUUAUCAUGAAACGCAACAUCCAUAGUGACAAACAACUUAUUCGUCGGUGGGUGAUAACAACGGUAUCCUUUCUGCCUUGAUGCAUACCCCACAAACACACAUCGUAAGGCUCGAGGUUCAAGCUUACAUCGAUGUUGUUUAUGAAGAUGAACGAAGGCCAAACAACCAAACACAUGAGGUGGAAAAUUAGGGACUGCAUGAGCAUCAACAUGUGAAGAAAUUGCCUGAAAAGGUGUAUGAAAAUCAACCGAUCGGGAUGGAACACGAUUAAUGAGAUACGCAGCUGAGGUGAGAGCUUCUCCCCAAUAGCAUAACGGGAGACGAGCCUCGAGUAAAAAAGCACGAACAACCUCCAGAAGCUGACGGUUCUUUCAUUCGGCAACCCCAUUUUGUUGUGGAGUAUAUGGACAUGUAGUUUGAUGAACAAUCCCAUGAUGAUCAAGAAAGGCACGAAGUUCAGAGUUAACAUAUUCGCCACCAUUAUCACUCCUGAGAACCUGUAUUUGUGACUUAUAUUGUACUUGUACCAUUUUGUAAAACUGUUGAAACAAAGAAGUAACUUCACCUUUGGAUUUCAUCAAACAAACCCAAGUCAUACGUGUGCAGUCAUCAAUAAAAAUAACAAACCAAUGAGCACCACCAAAUGUAGCAGUUUUAGAUGGACCCCAAACAUCAGAAUGAAUUAUCAUAAAUGGAACAUAACUUUUAUUCAAACUGGAUGGAAACGAGGCACGAUGACUUUUAGCUAGUUCACAAACACCACAUUUAAAGCUAGAAACAUCAUGCUUAACAAAUAGGCUAGGAAACAACCUCCGUAGAUAACCGAAAGAAGCAUGUCCAAGUCGACGAUGCCACAACCAAACCUCCGAAGCUUUAUUCCGAUCCCCUGAAUUUCCGUCCACUGCAAGAGCUUGAGUCAACAUUCGAGAACUGUUUGAUGUCAGCUCCAAGUAGUAGAGCUUCCCUUUCCUAAUACCAUAACCAAUCGUCUUGCGAGUCCGAAUGUCCUUAAAAACACAAAAAGAAGGCCAAAAAAUCAAAAGACAAUGCAGGACGACAGUUAUUUGAGCAACAGAUAAUAAAUUAUAGUCAAGAGAAGGCACAACAAGUACGGUAUCAAGACUAAGGGUAUCUGAAAGGGAGACGGUUCCUUCCCCGAUAACAGGGGCAUGAUUACCAUUGGCGACACUGACGACAGUUUUGGUGGAUGGUUUUAGGCUACAUGUCUAAAAUCACAAGUCAUAUGUUCAGUAGCACCGGAAUCAAUUAUCCAUGUAUUAUUCGUAACAGAUGCAGAAACCUUUAAAGUUUUACCAUCGUUGUUUGUAUGUUCAGAAGCUACCUUAGCUUUGGCAAUCAAUGCACACGACUCAUUACAGGGGGGAUGACGAGUCCAAUGUGUCAUUGCUCUACGUGAGUUGAGUGCAACGUCUGAGGUGAUUGAUAGGGCCAAGAUUCCAAACCAACUAGGUCAACAAUGUGAGAUCCCUGGAACAAAAACAAACAGUAACACAAAAAAGGACAACCUUUUUUCCUUUUUCUUUUUUUUUUUUUUUUUUUUUUUUUUUUUUCUUUUUUUUCCUUUUUUUUUUCUUUUUUUUUUUUUUUUUCUUUUUUUCCUUUUUUUUUGAAUUCCUUCAGAACACGCAAAGCAAAAUAAAUGCACGUGGGGAGUUCCUUCAAAACACACAAAUCAAAAAAUAAAUGCAGGGAUCAUAUCAAAUCAGUUUAGCAGAACACAGGUUGGGCUGCAGAUGGUAUGAUGAGUCAAAUGCGUAGACGCCAGGAAGAGACAGAUCGGUUUCUGGUGCAGAAGAAAUCGUGGUUGUCAACCGGGAUUUGCAACGACAAGGUUUCUAGAUUAGGAUCUCGGUUUGUGGGAGUGCGAUGCAGCAACAGAUGGUAGUGGGUGACUGCAGGGAUCGGCUCAGUGAACUCGGAUCAGCAACGACGGCGUCGCUCGCUGGUGUGACAGUGCACUGCACAACUGGUUGCGCAACUAGUGAACUCGGAUCAGCAACGACGGCGUCGCUCGCUGGUGUGACAGUGCGCUGCACAACAAGCUGUGCAACUGGUGGUUCUUAUUUCUGCGCACAACGAGACUUUUUUCUUUUUUUCUAACCUAGGCUCUGGUGCCAAGAAGAGAAUGCUUUGAAUAAUGAUAUAUUCUUCUCAAUAAGAGGAACUUAUAGGUGUACAACCCUAACAUAAAAGGAAAGAAAACUAAUUACAAGUGAUUACAUGGGAUUACAUAUCAAUUAGGAUCCUACCUAAAAUACAAAAGUCAACAUAUUCUCUCUCUACAUCUCUCUCUCUCUCUCUCUCUCUCUCUCUCUCUCUCUCUCUCUCUCUCUCUAGGGUUCCGUGAUCUGUAUAUGCGUCUCGAUGGCUAUGGAAAUUGUGGUGGAUGCGGCGUCGUUUGACGCCGAGCUGUUGCAGCUCAAUGAUUUGUCUCCUUUGGCCCUCAAAUCGAAUCCGAGCUACGUCGAGUCGCUGUUCGAGCAGUGGCUUUCGCUUCCCGAUACUAAUCGCCUGGUACUUGAAAACCCAAUUUUUUUGUCUUCAAAAUUUGAAAUUUUUGGUGUUUUCGCAUUGUUUUGGUUGUGCAUCUUGUUGGGUUUCGAAGGAUUUAUGGGUGCAGUUUUUGGUUUUUGAAUUUUGGUGAGCUUGGUUUUUUGCUGUUGAAUUAAAAAUUUCUGUGUUUUUUCAUGUGUGUAUGUUUUGAGAUACACAUAAUUUGCAUGGAUUUGUAUAUGUGUUUGUUCUAGCCUGUGAAACCAGCAUGAGAGCUAAGAAAUAAUGAUGCUGAGUUGAUUUUAGUAUAUAUUGAUUUUCGUGCCCAUGGUAUUGAAUUUGUUCGGAAACGAUGACUUUGCGAUUAAUGAAGCAUUAAAGGGCACAUUUCAGUAUGGAAAAAGGGAUGAAAAUUGUAAAUUGUUAGCAAUGUUCGAAAUUACCUAAUGCCUUAAAGUAGUUACAAAUUUGUAAUUAGUUGUUGGAAAUGCUAAAGUUUAUAUUUUUUUUAAUUAGGAUACUGGAUACCUAUGAUUUACAUACUACAUAAUCUUUCAUCUUUUCUGAUGCAUGACAGUUUUUUCAUUUUCCCGACUCUAUGGUUGCAGGUGACACAAACUGCUAACUGAAGCAAAGGCAGGUAGGCCUCUGAAUGUUCAGGGAAAUUCUUCUAGUCCACAUGCCACUGCAGGCAGUACUUUGCCUUCUAUGUUUCCAACCAAAGUGGGACAAAGGGAAGGCCCCACAGUCCCGGAAAGAGACUCCACCUCUUCCAUCCUCUCGGGUGCGUUCAUCAGCCAGAUCUGAUGACAGGGCAGCUUUCAAGGAUGAUGCAUUGAAUGAGUUACGAGCAAAACGUUUGAAGCUGCAUGACCCUGAGGCUCACCGCAAGUUGAGAUAUGCUUCUCGUAGUGAAGAUGAUGGAUCAUCAGGGGAUGAUGCAAUGAUUGACAGUGAUGAUGAAAGGUCACAGGGACUAACUUUUGAUGUUAUAAAGGAGAUUACCAUUCGAAGGUCGAAACUUGCAAGUGGUUUAUGGAGCCCUUCUUGGAAGAGUUAAUUGUGGUUUGCGUUGUAAGGGUUGGAAUUGGGAGGUCAAAGUCUGGGACUAUCAAUGGUGGGAGCAGUACGGGCAGGCAUAGCAGCAACUGCAGCAGCUUUGGAAGCUGCGGCUGGUGUAGGGAAGUUGAUUGAUACGAGUGCCCCUGUUGAUUUUGGAAGAGAGUCAAAUCUAAAGCAUAAUUUUGAGCUGCCAAUAUCAUUGGCUGCUCUUCAGAAGUUUGGAAAGCCACAGGGUUCUUGGCAAGAAAGCAGCGAAUAGAAGCAAUAGUUGAGUGCCAAGUCCCAGAGAAUAAUGGGAGGAGGCAUGCGCUGAUGCUUACAGUUGGCGACUACAUGAGAAGAAGAGGGAUUCUCUGAACAUAUUAAAAACCACCACAGAAACAAGAAAGUUCAAAAAGAGAGAACAUAUUAAAAACAGAUCAAGGCAUGCAAAAAAAUACAGACUCUAUCUGCAAACUAGCUGAUUAAGCCAGAAAGUUUCCUAGCUUACAACUAUGUUUGGUUGACACAGUUUUGUUGGUAUGAACUCCAAUGGGAAUCCAUGCCAGCACAACCAUCUUAAUUUUUUGGAAAGACAUUGGUAUCACCCAGUGAGUCGUACGUAGUUUAGUUGGAGCAAUCUCAGUCUCUUCAUAUUUUUAAACGCCUUGGUACUGAAACUAGUGUUUUCAAGACUCGGCAAAUUCAAAGCCAGACCUUCAAUUUUUUCAGUUCCCUGCUAUCCGAAAAAAACAGACUCCAAAUAAGAGAAGGCUUUGCAUGAAAAAAAGUUAGAUUACUAACUUACAUAUGCUUACACGUUUAACAUAAAGUUGAUUGGGAAAGUACUUACAAAUUUGUCUAUCAAUACAUCAUUUACAUCUUCAGGACGCCACAAUCUACUCCGUUCUCUAGGGAAAUCGGGAUUUUCUGCAUGCACGAUAUCUCUGCCCAUAUACCGAAGCAAAUCAUGCAUCAUAAUCUUGUUUUCUCUAUUAAUAGUUACAAGGCACCGGUCAAGGAGGACCUUGAUUCCUGUUGUUGCAUAAAAGCCACAACCAUCCAAGAUUUGUAUGACAUCGUUCUUGUCCAUUCCGAUAAAAAAACAAGCUAUAUCGAGGAAUAUUCGCCUCUUGUAAUUAUCAUUUAGCUCGUUGUAGCUUAUUUUCAGUUGUGCCUGAAUUUCUCCACGAGGAAUUAUUUUCAAUUCAUCCAAUAUACUUCUCCAUUCAUCUACGCUUCGUUUGAAAAGAGUAGAUCCUAAAACUUCAAGAGCCAGCGACAAUCCUCCACAGUAAUUAACAACUUCUCUUUCGAGUGCAAGAUAUUGACUAGGACAACUACUACUUCUGAAAGCAUGCCAACUUAGGAGCUCAAGAGCUUCUUCUCGGUCCAUUACUUUCGCCCGAUAUAUCUUUUGAAUUGCAAAUUCUUUUAGCACACUUUCAUUUUUAGUUGUGAUGAUGAUUCUGCUCCCCGGGCCAAAAAGUGGCAAUUUCCAACUAAUUCACGUAAUUGCUUCACAUCGUCUACAUCAUCAACUAUGACAAGUACCUUUAAGCGUCGAAAUCUUUCCCUUACCAAGGCGGUCCCUGCAGCAACACUGCUUACCUUUGUCUUGGUUUGCAAGAUAUCAAAAAGAAGUUGUUUUUGCAAUUUUUCUAGCUUCUUUUCCCUCACUUUUUCAAGGAAACUUUUACCUUCAAAUCUUUCAUAAAAUUCGUUAUAAAUGGCUUUAGCAAUCGUUGUUUUACCUAUUCCACCCAUGCCCGAAAUUCCAAUCACACGAACAUCAUCUGAAUCUCCGAUGCCUAAAUAAUUACUAAUAUCUAGCACUCGAGUAUCUAUUCCGACUUGAUAGGGCGCUACGUCGAAGUAUUUGUUGUUCAACUUAGUAGUGACGUCAUUGGUAAUCAUCCUGAUAAACUUUGCUUCAUGCCUGGCAUUAGUCAAGUUGAGAAGCAAAACGAAGAUUGUUAUACAACGAAAUUGAACUAAUUAAUACACAAAAUUAUUUAUCAUGACUAGAGAUUUUAAUUAAGACAAUUUUUUUGAGGUGGUGUGUUUAAACUUAGCAAACAUCAAUUAAAAUUAAAAUAAGAAACACAAACAAAAAACCCAGCAUCCCUUCCGUCCGCAGCCAGUCGCCGGCAGCUUCCCAACUGUGAUUAGUGUAGCCUUAACAGUUUAAGCUUUAUUGUAUGAUUUUAUUACAGAGGUCUAAGAAAUCGCAUGAUUCCAAAUUAAUAAGCAAAGGUACAUUAAAGCCUUAAUUCAUAAGAAAAUAAAUUAGUAAGUACCCGUCGAAAGUGUUUCUGAGAUCCCAGCCAGGCAAAUUCGAAGCUUCAGUAAGAGCAGCUCUCCACCUCUCUACCUUUUUUCAUCUGUAUGUUUCAGAAACGAUUGUGCAAAACUACUAGUCUGUUUCCUGACAUGCGAAGGAUCAACGUCAUAGAAUAUCGGCAAAACUAAUUGCCCUAGCAUUCUUCUACACUCCAUGAUCU